rnacentral:rRNA from 1 species
CCUACGGGAGGCUGCAGUGGGGAAUAUUGCACAAUGGGGGAAACCCUGAUGCAGCGACGCCGCGUGAGUGAAGAAGUAUUUCGGUAUGUAAAGCUCUAUCAGCAGGGAAGAAAUAGCGACCUUUGGGUCGCCAGACGGUACCUGAUUAAGAAGCCCCGGCUAACUACGUGCCAGCAGCCGCGGUACUACGUAGGGGGCAAGCGUUUUCCGGAUUUAUUGGGUGUUAAGGGAGUGUAGACGGCAGCGCAAAUCUGAAGUGAAAUGCCGGGGCUUAACCCCGGAACUGCUUUGGAAACUGUGCAGCUAGAGUGCAGGAGAGGUAAGUGGAAUUCCUAGGGUAGCGGUGAAA